rnacentral:lncRNA from 1 species
ACAUCACGAGGGAGAAGCUGUUCAGAGCAUCGAAGGUCAUUGAGGAUGAGAAGAGGAGGCAAAUCCUUGCCAGGGAUCAGAGAGAGGAGAGAGUCAGAAGCCUCAUUGCUGAGUGGGAGACCAAGCUGAAGGUCAAGGAAGCAGAGAAUCUGAAGAUCAGGGCUGAGAGAGAUCAUUACAUGGCAGAGAGAGACCACUACUUCAGGCAGAUGAAGAUUCAUCAGAAGGAAGUUGGAAGACUACAGCAGGAG